rnacentral:rRNA from 1 species
CCCUAAGGCGAGGCCGAAAGGCGUAGUCGAUGGGAAACAGGUUAAUAUUCCUGUACUUGGUGUUACUGCGAAGGGGGGACGGAGAAGGCUAUGUUGGCCGGGCGACGGUUGUCCCGGUUUAAGCGUGUAGGCUGGUUUUCCAGGCAAAUCCGGAAAAUCAAGGCUGAGGCGUGAUGACGAGGCACUACGGUGCUGAAGCAACAAAUGCCCUGCUUCCAGGAAAAGCCUCUAAGCAUCAGGUAACAUCAAAUCGUACCCCAAACCGACACAGGUGGUCAGGUAGAGAAUACCAAGGCGCUUGAGAGAACUCGGGUGAAGGAACUAGGCAAAAUGGUGCCGUAACUUCGGGAGAAGGCACGCUGAUAUGUAGGUGAGGUCCCUCGCGGAUGGAGCUGAAAUCAGUCGAAGAUACCAGCUGGCUGCAACUGUUUAUUAAAAACACAGCACUGUGCAAACACGAAAGUGGACGUAUACGGUGUGACGCCUGCCCGGUGCCGGAAGGUUAAUUGAUGGGGUCAGCGCAAGCGAAGCUCUUGAUCGAAGCCCCGGUAAACGGCGGCCGUAACUAUAACGGUCCUAAGGUAGCGAAAUUCCUUGUCGGGUAAGUUCCGACCUGCACGAAUGGCGUAAUGAUGGCCAGGCUGUCUCCACCCGAGACUCAGUGAAAUUGAACUCGCUGUGAAGAUGCAGUGUACCCGCGGCAAGACGGAAAGACCCCGUGAACCUUUACUAUAGCUUGACACUGAACAUUGAGCCUUGAUGUGUAGGAUAGGUGGGAGGCUUGGAAGUGUGGACGCCAGUCUGCAUGGAGCCGACCUUGAAAUACCACCCUUUAAUGUUUGAUGUUCUAACGUUGACCCGUAAUCCGGGUUGCGGACAGUGUCUGGUGGGUAGUUUGACUGGGGCGGUCUCCUCCUAAAGAGUAACGGAGGAGCACGAAGGUUGGCUAAUCCUGGUCGGACAUCAGGAGGUUAGUGCAAUGGCAUAAGCCAGCUUGACUGCGAGCGUGACGGCGCGAGCAGGUGCGAAAGCAGGUCAUAGUGAUCCGGUGGUUCUGAAUGGAAGGGCCAUCGCUCAACGGAUAAAAGGUACUCCGGGGAUAACAGGCUGAUACCGCCCAAGAGUUCAUAUCGACGGCGGUGUUUGGCACCUCGAUGUCGGCUCAUCACAUCCUGGGGCUGAAGUAGGUCCCAAGGGUAUGGCUGUUCGCCAUUUAAAGUGGUACGCGAGCUGGGUUUAGAACGUCGUGAGACAGUUCGGUCCCUAUCUGCCGUGGGCGCUGGAGAACUGAGGGGGGCUGCUCCUAGUACGAGAGGACCGGAGUGGACGCAUCACUGGUGUUCGGGUUGUCAUGCCAAUGGCACUGCCCGGUAGCUAAAUGCGGAAGAGAUAAGUGCUGAAAGCAUCUAAGCACGAAACUUGCCCCGAGAUGAGUUCUCCCUGAC